CCACUUUGUGAGGAGGAGGUGAUUUCUACAUACUUGAUGACCUUAGGCCGAUUAUGAUCCUUUGUCACCCUCUAUUAUUACAAGAUCCGACUAUAUCACCAUUGAUGAUAUGUAUGCACAUCUUCAGAGCUAUAAGC